GCAAAGACAAAGACAAAGACAAAAGAAAGGAAUACACAAGACUAAUUUCGACUUGAGCAAAAUGUGGAGAAGAACAGCGUCGAUUGUUUCUCCUUCUUCCACUUCUUUCUUUUCUUCUUCUUCCAUCUCCCUCUCCCAA
rnacentral:ribozyme from 1 species